UUAAUACUCCCUCCGUCGGGAAAUACUUGUCCUAGAAAUGGAUGUAUCUAAACUUAUUUUAGUUAUAGAUACAUCCAAUUUAUCCAUUCUUAGAACAAAAAUUUCCCGCCAGUCGGAGAGGGAGUACCUA
rfam:Triticum aestivum genome assembly, contig: Triticum_aestivum_CS42_TGACv1_scaffold_194566_3AL